rnacentral:rRNA from 1 species
AACGAACGCUGGCGGCAUGCCUAACACAUGCAAGUCGAACGAUGCUUUCGGGCAUAGUGGCGCACGGGUGCGUAACGCGUGGGAAUCUGCCCUUGGGUUCGGAAUAACAGUGAGAAAUUGCUGCUAAUACCGGAUGAUGUCUUCUGACCAAAGAUUUAUCGCCCAGGGAUGAGCCCGCGUAGGAUUAGCUAGUUGGUGGGGUAAUGGCCUACCAAGGCGACGAUCCUUAGCUGGUCUGAGAGGAUGAUCAGCCACACUGGGACUGAGACACGGCCCAGACUACUACGGGAGGCAGCAGUGGGGAAUAUUGGACAAUGGGCGCAAGGCUGAUCCAGCAAUGCCGCGUGAGUGAUGAAGGCCUUAGAGUUGUAAAGCUCUUUUACCCGGGAUGAUAAUGACAGUACCGGGAGAAUAAGCACCGGCUAACUCCGUG